rnacentral:rRNA from 1 species
AACGAACGCUGGCGGCGUGCCUAACACAUGCAAGUCGUGCGAGAAAGUUCCUUCGGGAGCGAGUAAAGCGGCGCACGGGUGAGUAACACGUAGGUAACCUGCCCCCCAGUCUGGAACAACUAGAGGAAACUCUAGCUAAUGCCGGAUGAGACCACGAUCCCUUCGGGGGUUGCGGCCAAAGAUGGCCUCUACUUGUAAGCUAUCGCUGAGGGAUGGGCCUGCGGGCCAUUAGCUUGUUGGUGAGGUAACGGCUCACCAAGGCUGUGAUGGCUAGCUGGUCUGAGAGGAUGACCAGCCACACUGGGACUGAGACACGGCCCAGACUCCUACGGGAGGCAGCAGUGGGGAAUUUUGGACAAUGGGGGCAACCCUGAUCCAGCAAUGCCGCGUGAGUGAAGAAGGCC